GCUGGAUAAAAAACUGUGUCUGUAUCAGUUUGUGAUAAUCUUCAACACAUAUGACAAAAAUAAGAUUUUUAAGUUUUUUUUGCUUCCUUACACGAGCGAUAUGAAGCAAAAUGCCGCCAAAAUUAGCAACACCAAUUUUUGCGUGACGUCCUUGUUGACAAAAACGUCGAAAGUUUGAAAGUCUUUGUAAAAAAGUGGAUAAAAUUCACAAAGGCAAACGAGCGAAUUUGGACAGACAGGCAGAAGAAACAAAGUUAUACGUAGAGAACAUAAAACGUCUGUUCAACUUUCGAAAAGUUGGUCGAUCAAGGCUCAGGAGAAGAAAUAAUUUUCUCUCAGAAAGAGAUGCUGGAUAACGCAAAUAAUCUCGUAACAAAACGUGAAGAGUAUUUCAAAGUAUCUAUUAAAAAUUGUGUAAAUAUAUAUGCUCAC